rnacentral:rRNA from 1 species
UACGUAGGGCGCAAGCGUUGUCCGGAAUUAUUGGGCGUAAAGAGCUCGUAGGCGGUUUGUCGCGUCUGGUGUGAAAACUCAAGGCUCAACCUUGAGCUUGCAUCGGGUACGGGCAGACUAGAGUGUGGUAGGGGUGACUGGAAUUCCUGGUGUAGCGGUGGAAUGCGCAGAUAUCAGGAGGAACACCGAUGGCGAAGGCAGGUCACUGGGCCACUACUGACGCUGAGGAGCGAAAGCGUGGGGAGCGAACA